AGGGUUUGAUCCUGGCUCAGGAUGAACGCUGGCGGCGUGCCUAACACAUGCAAGUCGAGCGCGUCUGAUUUGAUGCUUGCAUUAAUGAAAGAUGAGCGGCGGACGGGUGAGUAACGCGUGGGUAACCUGCCCUAUACACAUGGAUAACAUACUGAAAAGUUUACUAAUACAUGAUAAUAUAUAUUUACGGCAUCGUAGAUAUAUCAAAGUGUUAGCGGUAUAGGAUGGACCCGCGUCUGAUUAGCUAGUUGGUGAGAUAACUGCCCACCAAGGCGACGAUCAGUAGCCGACCUGAGAGGGUGAUCGGCCACAUUGGAACUGAGACACGGUCCAA
rnacentral:rRNA from 1 species